AUGAGGUUUUUAAACUCACAUGUUUUAUUCAUGGGUAGGCAGGUAACACGAUGAUUAGGAGUCCUGGCAUCAGAUUACUGGGUUGAAAUCCUGGCUCUGUCACUUGCUAGUGAGGAUGAAAUAAUAAAAUCCCUCUAAAAUACCUAGCUCAGCACCUGACAUGUGGUUAUUACUUAAUUAAUGUUACAGGCAUUUGUGACCUACAAAAGACAUAGUUUAAUGACUAUAUUUUUAGCCUUCAAAAAUGCAAAUUCCAUUUUUUUUUGAGUUCUCAUAUAUUAGAGAAUAUGUUAAUUGUCUCAGUUUGUUGUUUUAUUUUUUCUGCCCAGCAGUCUUUCAGUUGGUAGAGUGGACUGUUAAUUUAUCUAUUUCUCUGGUAUUUAGUUAUGCCAAUUUAGGGUAUUUGGAUUUCACAUAAUUUUCAAUACUGUCUGACAUUUCAGAUGACAGUAGAAAGAAAACGUAGCAUUUGUAGAUCUCUCCAUGUACCCUGCAUGGGGCUUAGCACUGUCAAACGAGUAACUUAAUCCUGACAACCGUAGUGCAAGGUAUGGCCCAUCUCCUGUACGCUUGGAGCGACCUUUGGCUACGUGGCUGGCCUUGUUAUUUCACCACUCUGGAUAUACUGGAAUAGAAAGCAACUUACAUACAAGAACAAUUAACUGGAGCAAAGGGAGAUAUUUCUUUGUGCAGAUUCUGUAAGGGCUGUGCAGAAAUAUGUAUGGUCAAAGCCAAGCAGUUCCAUUUACAGCUCUGUUUUUUAUGUAGUUACAACACGAUGUGAUUGUAGCUUUUUAAACUAUGAAACCCCUGAGAGAUUGUACCUUCUAGUUGAAAUAAAGUAUUUAUAAUAGA
rnacentral:sRNA from 1 species